GUUGAGUAUUAAACCGGACAUAGUGUUAGUGAAGCCGCUGUAUUUGGAGGAGGAGCCUGGAUGCUCUCGGGAGGCAGAGCUCACGGCUCAGUCCACUCAGCCAAUAAGAUUGAGCAGCAUCAUCAUCGCUGAAGAGAAGUGGUUAACCUUUCAAACUAAGACGCCUGUAUGCCAUGCAUUAUGACAAAUGGUAGCCUAUAUAGGGACCCGACUAAUUAGAAAGAAAUGGAUGGCCAGAACUCUCUAUUGUACAAAAUAAAGAACCUGUUUCAUCUGGAGUUCUUAAUUUAACAGCUCUGGAGGAUGAUGCAGUGAUUGCUGCGUACCUUCUACCUGCUACUGGUGGUGUCAGGUCAAGAGAGAUUUUCCUCUACAAGUUCAAAGCACAUGAGGUUUGUUAUGCAAUAUACCG